rnacentral:hammerhead_ribozyme from 1 species
AUUCAACCGACGAAUCCCGAACAGGCCGAAACGCGCGUCCUGGAU